rnacentral:rRNA from 1 species
UACGAAGGGGGCUAGCGUUGUUCGGAAUUACUGGGCGUAAAGCGAACGUAGGCGGUGUUCCAUGUCAGAGGUGAAAGCCUGGGGCUCAACUCCAGAAUUGCCUUUGAAACGGGGACGCUUGAGUCCGAGAGAGGAUGGCGGAAUUCCUAGUGUAGAGAUGAAAUUCGUAGAUAUUAGGAAGAACACCGGUGGCGAAGGCGGCCAUCUGGCUCGGUACUGACGCUCAGGUUCGAAAGCGUGGGGAGCAAACAGG